rnacentral:lncRNA from 1 species
AUAGACUAUAGAAAAUGUAUAGCUAUUUAUCAGUUCUUUUAUUUGAACUCUAAAAUCAACACCUUUGAUGUGGUGGCUGAAUUUUUCUUAAUCAUUGACACUUCUGGUUUUUUCUUCGGAUUGAAUAGUUAGAUCACAAAUUCAUCCUGUUUUGUAACACAAUUCUUCUUAAUGGCUUCCCCCCUCCCAUACAUUCUUCUUUGAAUUAGUC